AUACACGUUACCGAGAUUCUCCCCACUACUGUUUUAAGCAACAACUAUAGUCGAGAUUUUACUUCUUGCUCUUAUCUAUCUGCCUGUGUAUUGGUCAAUUAUUUUACACACGUCCUGCGCGUACACUUUUUAGCUAGUGAAAAUUUAUGUGGACUUUUUUUUUAUAUUGGUACCACUAUUCGAAAUCGUGUUGGCUGUAGCACCAGAGGCAUGAAAAUAAUUUAUGAAUUUAAUGUCUCUUUACUUUGCCAUAAGAUGCUUGUUUAUACUUUGCUCGGAGCAAUCAGCUUGGAAUUAAAAUAUUAUACAUUUUCAAGGAGAUUCUACGUGAACGAUUAUAUGGGUAUACUUGUUAUUGAAGAUAAUUAUUUGCGUAGAUCAUUCUGUGAAUAUUGUUCGAGUUUGACUUUGAUAAAAGUUAAAUCGUUCUUGGUGUCCCUCGGGAAUAAUUAAAUAAUUUAUUCGUUUCAAGAUGAUUUUAAGAAAAUGCGUGUACCUUGCUCGGUUCUUAGCCAUGAAUUCUUCGCGCGCCGAAUAAAGAAAAAUGGAGAAAGUUUUAAUUCCCGACUAUGCUCGGCUCUAUUAUACAAUUAUAUGACGCAAGUACCGACGACUCAAUCACUCUGAAAUUCUAAAGGAAAUCGUUGGUCCGCAUAAUGUUUAGGUAUAACAUGUAUGACCGUUUGUGCACGUCGUAGUGAACGUGUCAUAACGAAAGAAG